rnacentral:rRNA from 1 species
UGGGGAAUUUUGGACAAUGGGCGCAAGCCUGAUCCAGCAAUGCCGCGUGCAGGAUGAAGGCCUUCGGGUUGUAAACUGCUUUUGUACGGAGCGAAAAGGUCUGCCCUAAUACGGUGGGCUCAUGACGGUACCGUAAGAAUAAGCACCGGCUAACUACGUGCCAGCAGCCGCGGUAAUACGUAGGGUGCGAGCGUUAAUCGGAAUUACUGGGCGUAAAGCGUGCGCAGGCGGUUUGCUAAGACCGAUGUGAAAUCCCCGGGCUCAACCUGGGAACUGCAUUGGUGACUGGCAGGCUAGAGUAUGGCAGAGGGGGGUAGAAUUCCGCGUGUAGCAGUGAAAUGCGUAGAUAUGCGGAGGAACACCGAUGGCGAAGGCAAUCCCCUGGACCUGUACUGACGCUCAUGCACGAAAGCGUGGGGAGCAAACA